ACAGGGCUUACUCCAGAAAUGAUGUGCUUGAGAUGGAGAGCUUAAUGAUCAACAUCUUGCAGUUUAAUCUUUCAGUGCCUACUCCUUAUGUCUUCAUGAGGCGCUUUCUUAAAGCUGCUCAAUCUAAUAAAAAGAAUAGAACCACUCGUAUGUAAAGAAUAUGUAGAUAAACGCCCCGUGAUUAUCCCUUACCACAGGGGCGAAAAGCGGUUGUACGUUAGAUUUCAGGUGAGACCCUUUUGAGUUUCCAUACUGUGAGUGUUAAACAUCUUAUUCUCUUUUUGCUACUGAUGAUAUGGUCUGCAAGAGUUUAGAGAAGGCUUGGCUUCACAUUCUCAGGCCCUGAUGGAUCAAAUGACUGCUAUUAGGGUUAAAGUGCUUACCAUCUGCGAAUCGAGAAACAAGGAUAAACUGGAUGGUAAUCCUAAGAUGAUUUUGCUUCUUUUGUUUUUUUUUUAUUUCAAAUUUUUUGUUUGAGUUACCAUGUUUGGUCCCUUCAAAUUUACUGUGCAAUGCUCUGUCAAUGGGUUCAAGAAGUGGACUAAGACAUGCGAGAGGUACACAAACUACACUGAAGAUCAGCUUUUGUGGAACCAGCUGAAGAUUGAUGGGGUGUUCGUGGCUAUGAUUGAAGG